rnacentral:tRNA from 1 species
AGCAGCAUGGCUUAGUGGAAAGAGCACGGGCUUGGGAGCCAGAGGACACAGGUUCUAAUCCUGGCUCUGCCA